rfam:Yersinia ruckeri strain 37551 YRO1b0000012, whole genome shotgun sequence.
AAUGAUGCAACCCGUUAUUUUUCGUUUCUUUUUUUACUUUAGCACCUGAUUUGAGGAGGCUUGCGCGUAAGAAAAGAAACGAAAAGUAGCGCCUAAGCCUCCCGCAGUGGAGGCUUUUUUGUU